GAGGUGAAGAUAUCUACAGUGAACUCCAAGCAGGUUCAUGGAGGUUCUUUCAUUCAGAAACCUAUGAUCCAAAUUAUUUUGGGGAAGGCUCAGAAUUUGGACAAGAUCACAACUGCUGCUGAUGGUGCCACAGCACCUAAUGUGGAAUCUGCUAGGCAGGCCUGACCCAGCAGUUGCUUAAGAAUUCCCUUUCUUUCUUUUCCAGUUUAUGUAAGUGUUUCAACAUAUAGGAGAAAAUAAUUUUGUAAUA